rnacentral:lncRNA from 1 species
UAGUGAGUUUGAGAUCAAGGUGUUUUUGGUCCGUGGAGUAAACGCACUCCACCUAGUGUCAACACUAUUGCACAAAAAAAAAAAUCACCGUAUAUUACUACCAGAAUCCCAUGUACCUCUGUACGUGCCACCACGCACUGAAACACACUAUGUCACUGGACCACUACACGUCACCUCACACACUGCCACUAGAACCACCACGUGUCGCCGCAAACUGAUCAACAAUUGUUACAGAACACGAUGCACACUUAAAUUCGGCACAGAUCUUGUCAAAUCAGGCCAAAAAAUUUUACGGAUCCGUGAAAUCGCACGAACCAGUCAUUGUGGGUCAUUUAGUUUGAUUGUAGGUAACUUAUCUUCCUGCCCUUUGGUUUCGAGUGCACGAACAUCGUUU